rnacentral:rRNA from 1 species
UACGGGGGGGGCAAGCGUUGUUCGGAAUUACUGGGCGUAAAGGGCUCGUAGGUGGCCAACUAAGUCAGACGUGAAAUCCCCAGGCUUAACCUGGGAACUGCGUCUGAUACUGGAUGGCUUGAAUUCGGGAGAGGGAUGCAGAAUUCCAGGUGUAGCGGUGAAAUGCGUAGAUAUCUGGAGGAAUACCGGUGGCGAAGGCGGCAUCCUGGACCGAGAUUGACACUGAUGAGCGAAAGCUAGGGGAGCAAACGGA